rnacentral:lncRNA from 1 species
GGGAUCUUCGUGCACACGGGCUGCCCUUUUACCACUGACACAGUAUAUAACUAAAAAACAUCAUAAACUCCAAAUAACAACAAAAGCUCCAUGUCCUAUCGAAUAUCAUAAAAUGGAAUGAAUAGGGUGGAUUUGUUGCGUAUUUAAAUUCACAAUUCAAACCGCCUUAAAAUACAAUUCAUAGAUCGAAGGGUAACUUGAUUUAAUCUUAAGGUCAAUAUAUAACACCACAGAUUCACAUCAUAAAUCAACCCCUCCC